rnacentral:rRNA from 1 species
UACAGAGGUCCCAAGCGUUGUUCGGAAUUACUGGGCGUAAAGGGCUCGUAGGCGGCCAACUAAGUCAGACGUGAAAUCCCUCGGCUUAACCGGGGAACUGCGUCUGAUACUGGAUGGCUUGAGGUUGGGAGAGGGAUGCGGAAUUCCAGGUGUAGCGGUGAAAUGCGUAGAUAUCUGGAGGAACACCGGUGGCGAAGGCGGCAUCCUGGUCCAGCACCGACGUUCAGGCACGAAAGCGUGGGGAGCAAACAGG